rnacentral:rRNA from 1 species
GAUAAACGCUGGCGGCGUGCUUAACACAUGCAAGUCGAACGAUGAAGCCCAGCUUGCUGGGUGGAUUAGUGGCGAACGGGUGAGUAACACGUGAGUAACCUGCCCUUAACUCUGGGAUAAGCCUGGGAAACUGGGUCUAAUACCGGAUAGGAGCGCCUACCGCAUGGUGGGUGUUGGAAAGAUUUAUCGGUUUUGGAUGGACUCGCGGCCUAUCAGCUUGUUGGUGAGGUAAUGGCUCACCAAGGCGACGACGGGUAGCCGGCCUGAGAGGGUGACCGGCCACACUGGGACUGAGGCACGGCCCAGACUCCUACGGGAGGCAGCAGUGGGGAAUAUUGCACAAUGGGCGAAAGCCUGAUGCAGCGACGCCGCGUGAGGGAUGACGGCCUUCGGGUUGUAAACCUCUUUCAGUAGGGAAGAAGCGAAAGUGACGGUACCUGCAGAAGAAGCACCGGCUAACUACGUG